GUCCAGAUUGUGGCUGAAGCUGAAUUUUAUGAGCCUUCCCCCAGCUCUCCUGUACUUCUUUUUCAGGGCAAGAAACAGAACGGAAAUGGAGAGGAGAGCCCAGCAUGACUUGCGCCGUGCCAAAGGAAUACGUAGAAAUAUCUUGAAAGAGCCAGGUUGGUCCAGACCUGCUGGCAAGCCUGCAGCCCCAUCCACCGAUUACCUAAUACACUUGUGACAUCUGCUUUCCUUGUUGUGAGAAAACACAGGGAGGAAGUGUGUGCAGAAGGGGUGAUGCCUGACCUACACACCCGGCAAUACCAGAAGUUUCACUACCUUCCGUUGGUAAACGCUUCAGGGAAGGCUCUGCAACCCUGAACGUGUUUUAUUGUAGAACCUCACUAGGAAACUCAUCAGUAUUUAUUAAAGAUGAAUUAAAAGAAGGAGGAAAAGGAAAAACGGGAUAGUGAAGAGAAUAGAUGAAUGAAAAAGAAGCAAAGGGAAGAGAGGAGGAAGGGACAAAGAGGGCAAGAAAAGAGAAAAGAGAGAUGAGAGACCAGGACUUCCCACCUAACCUUACCAAACUUUUUCAGUUGAGCUUUUAAUGGGAUACUAUUCCCAAGAGGAAAUUCAAAAAGAAAACCACCUUGAAACAUCCUUGCUUUUAAUUGUACUCUUUCAACUGCCAGGAAAUUAAUUAGGUAAGACAAAAAGAAAAUUUUCUACCUUAAUAAAAAGAAGCCAACACCCAGGAACAACUGUCUUUGCUUGAGAACAGUGUUACGUGUACAAAGCUGCCUACAAAGUGUCUCCCGCCUGGCUCAGGCAAGAAACUGGGACAGAAGUCUGUGAUGUUAUACCAGCCUGGGAGUCGUGCAUGGUCAUGUCAGUGUCGAGUGCACCAGGCGACACAGGGACAUGCCAGGCACCGCUCCUCCAGAGAGACUUGCCAGGUAUACAUGUUACCUCUCUCCCUUAGGCUUCACAGACUCGGCGGCCUUCCUCCAACCACCUGUCUCCUUAGGAAGUUUGAGAGAACUUUCUCCUCUGUGAUACAAACAGUAACCAAACAAAGCAGUAAACAAUCCAGUGUGGAAAGCACAUACUAAAGCUAAGAUUUAAUGUCACUGAAAUAAAAUCAUAACAACAAAAAA
rnacentral:lncRNA from 1 species